GGAGAGGGCUCAGUUGGCAAUCUGUUU
rnacentral:piRNA from 1 species